rnacentral:misc_RNA from 1 species
GUGAAUGACGUGUGCGAGUGCCAUGACGUCAGCAGUGACCUUGAGCGCAAUGUCACGCCUGGCGCUGUCUUCACGUCUGCUGCUCAUCAACACACGUCGUCUGAUGGCGGAAACUUCCAUUCUCGUUGCUAAGCAGCCUGCAUCGGCUGUGAACGACAGCAGACGACGAGAUGAGCUCACCAGCCGGGACGACGAGUAAAAAGAAAGAAACGGGGAUUUCACCCAAUCUUAGGAUUGGUUCGUUCUGCAUCAACGACUUCAAAGUUCGCGAAGAGCCCAAUCAGGGGUUCGCCUCCAACGUGUUGUUUGAGAUGCUGAGACGCUUUGAUCUCCUCCUGCUCAUGGAGGCGAGGGCGGACAACAGUCGGACAAACAUCGACAAGCUCAUCCGACGUCUGGACAUAUUAGACAAAGACGGUCUAUUCGAUUUCGAAGAAGAUGAAGCAGUAUGUAUUUUACAUGGCCGCGAGCACUUACUGCUUUUUCUACAGAGUAAGUCGGUUGACCGUGCUGGACACAAUGUAUCCAACAGAAAACGAAUUAAUCGAGAACUGGGAAGAGAAACAGAAAAGGAGAAGUAAAGAGGAGAAUGCCUCUGCGUCACAUAAACCUUCUGAGCUAUCAGUGAGAGGAGACAACUCGUCGGAAGCAGGCAAAAGAGUACCCUCGAUCGUAGUGGAGAAAAACAAGGCUUGUUGCGCUGGUGAGAAAGGGACUGAGAAAAUGCUAUCUCCUGAUAAGAAAGACUAUAGUCGGUCACUUUCUGAUCACAACGUGACUAGAAAGCCUGCUGGAGGACAAGCUAACCUGUCGUCUUCAGGCAGCCCCAUGAAAAUUGAAUCUUUGGUAAUGGAAUCCUUGUUAUCGACGAGUUCUUCUCAUGAAUCUGACGUAUUUUCCUUGACAACUUUACACUCGGUUGUGUCUCCUGAGAAGGAGGAGGACCCUGAUAUAGUUAAGGACAUAAGAUUUGGGGCUCAAAGAGCGCAUAGCCUUGCCAAAUCUGUCCUCGAGUUCAUCCCUAAAAAAGGGGGAAAAUCCGACAAAGGCGGGAACGAAGGCGGGAACGAAGGCGGGAAAGAAGGCGAGAAAGAAGGCGGGAACGAAGGCGAGAACGAAGGCGAGAACGAAGGCGAGAACGAAGGCGAGAACGAGGGAGCAGGUGAGGACGAUGAGAACGCUAACCAGUCUAUGAAUUUAGAGACCCAGAAGAGCUCGUCGGACUCUGGAGACUACAAGAAGGGCGUGGAGGGGGGCAGAGAAAAUACUAUCAAGUAUCUUCAUGAUGUCAUGUCCGAGGAGUGGACAAAUCCUGACGGAGGUCUGGCCUGCAACGUCAGCGGCAAUACCUCUCCCACCUCAUACUCUUCUCUAGAAGGACAAGGAACGCAUGAGAGUCUCACGCAGGACAGUCCAGCAAUAGAUCAACUGCAAGCUGCGACUGAUGAGUCCUUCUCGACCAACAUGACCAGCUAUCCGCCUGCUUACUCCUGCUCGAGCAUCAGACUUGCCCGCGAGGUGAGAAAGGAGACCUUGCCCAUGUUUGUAAUCUUCAAGGGCGAGCCCGCUCCAAGAAUGGUGGAGGAACCCAGAUUCAAUGCCGUCGGUGAGUCUGUCCUCCCCAUCACGGUUGAGUUUCCCAGGCGAAAGGGGGACUGCACGACCGUCCAUUUUACUGACAGCGGACAGGAGCAGAGCGCCACUCGGGUUGGUGAAUCCAACGCGCCGUGGGCUGAUGCCAAUGAAGCCUCUAAUGCCGUGGCGAGCGGCUCCAUGGUCUUUGAUCAGGAGCUUGCAGUGCACAAGUGCGUCCACAUGGCUUUCCAGUCGUCCAGAUGCCACACAAGAGGAGGACGCCAGUUUCCUGAAGUCGUCGGACCACAGAAAAUCCAUCUCCGAGAAUAAUGUUGAGCUGGAGAAGGUGUCACCUGUCGGUGAGUUUGGAGAAGGAAGAGAAUCAUCCUAGACAAACAAAUGAAGGCGAACCACCUACCUCGUGGCAAGGAAAGAAUAAGUGACAUCAUGGACGUACAGAAGGUUCUCGAGACGCCUGAGUUCGUCUCAUCGGCUGAUGGAGCGUCAUUAUUAACCCCGACCGAUGAAGUCACGUGGCUGUAUGGGACUGGUGACGUCGCGUCGUUUUCAGAUGAUGUCCUGUCGCUUGACCAAGCUGUGGAAAUCAUCUCGCUAUCUCGAGAUGACGAAGUCCCAGGACCGGCUAAUGUACAUAGAGCCUCUGAACCCAUGGCGGGCAGCUCCAUGUCUCCUGAUCAGAACGAACCAGUGCCUUGCAAUCGGAAGAUGCGUCACUGGGAAGAAGCGGAAAAGGGAAUCGGAGACCAACGAAUGAUGCGCGCAGAAGGGAUGAGCGCGAGAAGAAACCUCCAAUCGUCUUUUUACGGGAGCCGUUCGUUGUGCGGUUCAGCUGCCCCACUUCGGCCAUCUCGGACUUCAUUGCUGUAGCCUUACACACAAACCCUAAAGAACCCUACUUCGAGGACCUGCGUAUCAACCAGCUCUAUGACGCCAUCAAAGACAAGUGGCAUAUUGUGGUACGU